AUUGAACGCUGGCGGCAUGCUUUACACAUGCAAGUCGAACGGUAACAGGGAGCUUGCUCCGCUGACGAGUGGCGAACGGGUGAGUAAUGCGUCGGAACGUGCCGAGUAGUGGGGGAUAACGCAUCGAAAGGUGUGCUAAUACCGCAUACGUACUGAGGUAGAAAGUGGGGGACCUUCGGGCCUCACGCUAUUCGAGCGGCCGACGUCUGAUUAGCUAGUUGGUGAGGUAAAGGCUCACCAAGGCGACGAUCAGUAGCGGGUCUGAGAGGAUGAUCCGCCACACUGGGACUGAGACACGGCCCAGACUCCUACGGGAGGCAGCAGUGGGGAAUUUUGGACAAUGGGCGCAAGCCUGAUCCAGCCAUGCCGCGUGUCUGAAGAAGGCCUUCGGGUUGUAAAGGACUUUUGUCCGGGAGCAAAUGCCUGGUGUUAAUAGCACUGGGAGCUGAGAGUACCGAAAGAAUAAGCACCGGCUAACUACGUGCCAGCCGCCGCGGUAAGAC
rnacentral:rRNA from 1 species